UUUCUUCUUGUUUUUUUUUUUGAGUGGAUACGGGAUGGACCUAGUCAACAUAAUAGGGCUGCCUCGAAGUUUCGCUUGAUUGGACCUCCUAAUCCAACAUAAACAGUUCAUCGUCGUGCUAGCGCCGAAGGAAGUUAAGAUCCAUUUUGAUUGAACGGAUGGACCAAAUAAAUUUUGGCCCAUCGAAUGCAAACAGGCUGGAAACAAAGCGUGAUUUGAAUCCAAUAAAUUUUGGCCCAUUGAAUGCAAUAAGUUUCUCUAUUGCAAGUGGGCUGCAUUUGAAUCAAUAGGCCACUCGAUCUAGCCAAAGCCCAGAGACUGGAAACAAACCUGGGCCUUCAGCCUUACGGCCUCAAUUUAUUAGAUAAUUUCUUAUUUGACAUUAGAAAAAUAACUCGUUUCUUCUUUAAACUUUAAAAUUUUUCCUUCUUUGACACCGACUUCAACUUGACACUACCGUCGAUACGGAGUACUAACAGCGUUAAGUGUAAAAUGAAAGACGUUUUUGCUCCUUAUGCAGUUGAGAUAUUCAUGCACUUGUGUAUCCAAAUUUCAAAGGAUGCACUUCAGGACCGUAGCAAGACACUGGUUGAGUUAUCCCCCAGCAAUGGUUUCUCGUCGAAGAGCUCGGGAUUUUUUGCCUCUUGCUUGUCGAAGAUCACAGGGCCUUCCUCGGACACAAAGAACCGUGUCUCCGUUUGGCCUCGCUGUCUCUUCCUCUUGCUUGUGGCCACAAUCUGAGCCGCGCAGCGCCGGCGUGGGGAGCAAGAAGGGCGGAGAGUAGAACUCGUCUCGAGCGCGACGCCGCAGCAGGCGCAAGCGAGGUCCCGCUCGCCGAGCUCGCUCCGGCUCAUCCACGACAGCAGCGCCUUCCCGGGCGCCGCCGCCGCGGCGCAGUCCUCGCACAUGUCCCCGGCGUCCGCGAGCCGGCGGUGCGCGCUGCAGUAGCCGAGGCGUGACAGCUCGGCUGCGUGCGCGUCGCAGAGGCUCAGCGCCGCCGACGCCACGGUGUGCGUGGCGGUCGAACAGGCUGUCGACGCCGAGGCGGGAGCAGAGCGCGCACGGCGGCGCGAGGUCGAAGAAGGAGGCGAACCUGGAGAUGAGGUGGAGAAGAUGCCGUUGGCGAGGAGCAGCGCGUACGCGAGCACCUGCGCGAUGCGGUUGCUCUUCUUGGACAGCGCUGCCGUGUGGUUGGCGCCGGCCAUGGGCACCUGCGACACCAUCUUCCCGCAGCCCGGCGGCCCCUUGGCAGCCGGCGGAACGCAAUCCAAGCGCGAUUAUUUAGUGGCAAGCAACCACUGCAAGAAGUCCGCUUCCGGAUAAAAAAAGAAAUAAAAAAAAAGAGGGUGAGCCCCCAGUUCAACGACGGCGCCUCUACCCGCUCCACCUGGCCUUCGAGGCCUGCGCCCGCCGCUCCCAAACGGCAGGGCCCGCUCCCGCGCGCCAGUCGGGGCUUGCGCCCGCCGCUCCCCCGCGGCCGUCGCUCACAAGCGCCCGUCGGGGAGAGAGAGAGGGAGGAAUGGAUUCCUCUGUUGGUUGGAGUUGGGGAAACGGCCCUUGGCUAGGGGUACAUUUGUCCAUUCACAAAAAAACUGACACGUCUCCAAUAGCUUUUCACGAUAGUGUCUAACCGAACUGAGAGCAGUGUCGUUUUUCUUAUGAAAGUUAAAAGGCAGUGUUAAGGAAAAAAUUUUGAGCGUCAACAAAUAGUCAUUAGUCAUUUUUCUAGUGUUAAAUAGGAAAUUAUCUCAAAAUAUAUAACUAGGUUGUGUGAAGCAAAAGUGUGCACACGGACGGGCUGGCCUCCAACUCUAGACUAAUGUUUUUUUUCUCUCUUGAACCCUGUUUCUUUUCCCCAAGCUACAGUAGAGAGGGGCGAGUUUCGGACGAUUCUUGAUCCCGCACCCAUUUCUCGUCGAUUCCUCUCCUCUGACAGCGUCGCCGGCACCGAAGGUGAAGGGAAUCGGCUCGAGAACCAGGUGUGGUCCUGUAUAUCUGCUAGUUAUAGGUUUAGCUUAGUAGAUUAAGUUGCCCUGUUGUCGGUACCCGCCGGCGGCUGUUAGUUUCUUUUGUUGUCAAGACUUGCUGGCGGCAAUUCGGAUGGUCCUGGUGGCUCUGUAUAGCUGGCUGGUUCUUUUGUCCCUCCAGGCGAUUUUUGGUGGCGACGACAAUGACGAAUCCUUCCCCGCAUGUGGAUCUGUGAGGUUUGUCUAUUCCUUCCCUACUCGAGAAAUCGGGUUGGUUGCUUUUCCUUAGGGUUUCUUCCUCGCUGGGGAGUUUGGGGUCAUCGGCAAUGCUUGUGGUGUCUGAUCCCUUACUCUUAGUGAAGAUUUGCCUAGCCGUUCAGCGAUUUAGGUGCACAUCUUGUGAUGUGCCAACUCAUGUGGCAUCAAAAAUGUAUGCUGCUUCUCUGGAAGCUUCUUCGUGGAGGUUGGAUUCGGCUUCAAGUUGCAAUCUUGGCGUUCGUCUUAGCGUCGGGUGGUGGCUCCAGUGACGAAGAUGAUCGGGAAGAGAUAUUUACCAGGAUCAGAAUGUAAUUUUUGUUUUAUUCAAGGGUGUCUUUGUAAAGAUGUAUGUGUAAUCUUCCAUAUGAAUCAAUAAAAUGCAACCCGGUUUUCUAAAAAAAACUAAUAUUUUUUAUUUUUAUUUAAUUUGUUUUCCUUCUUUUAGAGAGGAGAGGUUGCCCCUACUGAUUUGACUAAAUAUAUUUAUAAUAAAUGGCCCAGUUACAAAGAUGGAAAUCAAGAAAAAAACAAAACAACAGUUAUAAAAAGCUUUCUAGCCAUUCUUCAAUACUUGGGAAAUAUGCCUUCUUUGAAGCAGAGCAAACUCUAUUGCAAGGAUGGCCUUGCAGUGAUCAACUAUGAUGUGAUGCCCUGAAAAAAAACUAUGGUGUGAUUGCUCUAAAAAUUUGAUCAGCUCGUAUUCACUGGAUUCUCCAGCUCAUGAAGAAGGGGACAUUUAGUUGUUGCCUAUUUCUUUUCCUUUUGUGAAACGUGUAUAAACGUGCAUGCUUGUAUACCUACAUGGUCGCACACAUAUUCACCUUUACGAACGCAUGCCCUAUAUUUAUGAACGUAUAUAAACGUAAGUAGGUGCCUCAAAGUCGACGGAUAUAUCAUCUAUCAUUGCGCAAAUAAAUAGUUGUAAAUUUGAGUAGUCGUACUGAUUUGAAGGCUCUGGUCCAUAUAUACAAGUUUUACCACAAAGAAACAAGAACUGCUUAAUUUCUAUAAUGCACAGCACAUCGAAAUGCGAUUAAACAUUCGCAUCUAUUCUCUUUUUUACUCUUUUAUGGUGCAUUAUAUUAUUAUUAUAGUAUAGAGAACAUCUAACCCUAGAGUGAUAAGGAUGACUUAGUAGUGUUGUACCUAGUUACUAAUUGACUCGUUGAUCCUUUUCUUUCCGCAGCCGCGGGAGCCUCCUGGAGGUCGGCGUCAUGGCGAAUGCGCCGCAAUUCUGCCCGCGUUGGCGACCGCGAUUAGCAGUGAUUGCUAUGUUUGCGGCGCCACAAGCAUGGUUGAUGGCGUGAGGCAGAGCCAAGGAGACGCUGCACCAGCUCACGUGUUGGCUGAAGCCAUUAAAUUCUGCAUGAACUCAAACCGGACAUAAUCCUAAUCAAUCAGUUGACGAUCAAGGUAGUGUGUUAAAAACAAUCAGUACUCGUUAUAGACUUGGUUAAUUUAGUGAUGCCGCAUCUAUUUCAUGUACGUUACAUCUUGGUGAGGAAUUAGAGAGCGGUGAGUUCCAUGAACAUGGCCUCUCUGCAGCACUCGAAUCCAUGGCAAAUAAAGAUGCGCAGGAACGAUGGAAUCCAAGGAUCUCGAAUUCUCCAUCUUGAUGCUAUGGGAUGCAAGGGCCUUCUGAAUACUGAUCAAUCGAUAACCAGAAGGAGAACGGCGGCGAGGAUUCGGGUACAUGCGCUCGCCGGCCAGCGUGAAAAACAACAGAGGUUCGCUAUGAUCUCCUCUCCCUCCGUGCCACUGUUGGAGUCGCGGCGGCAUGUUUUUUCCCUUAAUAUUCUUAUACUACCUAUUGUACUUUAUACCAUACAGGUCAAGUCUUCAAUGGUAUACAAGCCGUCGGAUGUUUUUAUACUGAACCUUUUCAAAUACUAGUAUAGUCUAGUAUAAGAUACCGUAAAAGUGUUUUUUUUCCUUUUUCAUAUGGCCAGAGCUAGUUAAGAUCAUAAACUCGAUGCAGACUUGCAGAGGCAGUACCAAGUUAGCACUUACGGAGUAGCAGCAUACCACAGAGCCAUUAGCCCGCUGCCUGUUGCCCUGUUCGUCCUGCGAGCAUGAAAGCAUGGGCGGCGGCCAGUACGGGAGGAGAGUAAUAAUUGGAGAAAUACGAUGGAUCCACAGUCACCAACUAUUGCUACCGCCUAGGAGAGGCAGAGCGAGCAGGGUUUCCAGGGAUCAUAGUAACUUCCGAACCCUGUCGGCGGCUAUGCUACCAGCGACCGCCUUCUGUUCCCCUGCCGCCGUCGUGCUGCAGCGCAGUGAAUGCCACUGGGCACCUGUGCUGCUCGCCUGCUGAUGUCGUUGCGUCGCCUCAGUGGUCAGUGCUCUGUGCCAGCGGCUGCGCAUGCAUAAAUUCCAUGCGGGGAUAACGUGUCUGCGGGCCGUAGCAUCGUUCUCCCAGAGGCGAACUAGCAAAUCCCUGCUCCCUGCUCCGCUGUAUUAUGAACUCUGAAGUCUGAACCGUCUUGAUUCCAUAGCGCAUCAAUUGGGAGGUCAGAGUUGUUAUGGGGAAGGUAUUGCGAAUUCUGCGCACUUUCUUUCUUGGAAACUAAUCAAACACGAAAGAAGGAUGAUCAGAAAAACUGUAAUUUCCUGAAGAAGAAUUCAAUAGAAAAAGGUUGGUGGAUCCCUUCCUCACGCGCGACCACGUCUCCUCACUUGCAACCGCUUCUCCAAACAGCAAAAACACCCUAGAGUCAAGUUGCCUUAACCCAGAUGUAACUCAACUUGGAAAAACAGGAACUAAACGCACGCGGGACCUGACGAACCAGCGACGGAGCAGCCACCGGAAAGAUUUCGUCCCUGACGCGACCGGCGAUCGACAGCGACGCCGAUCGCGAAGGCCAUGGCGGCACAGUGCUACCGCACAGUCACGCCGGCCGGGGCCGCCUGUUUCCUGGCGCAGGCGCAUCUUCUGCGCCUUUCAGCGUGGGUCAAGCAACAGUGGAGGGCCGAGCGGUGGCGAUGAAUGACGCGAGAAUUCCUGUCAUGGAUGCCUGAGCUGAGCCCUGAGCUCCCUCGGAUAAGCUCUAGCCGCCGGGGCAGCUGCUGGUUUGUCCAUCUCGUAGGCCCGUAGCCUCUUGGACAAGGAAAUCUCGCAUAUCUUUAACCCAAAGCAAUCAUCGCUACCGAAUACCCCGAGUAGGGCCGGGGAGAUCGGCAUUAGUCAAUCUGAAACGACGCCCGCACAAAUUCGGCAUCGUGUUCGGUUCUUAGUUUACACAUCAGGGUGUGUGACCUUCAAUCAGAGAGACGCACUAAUCAACCCCAAGCCUGCCCUUCCAGCCACCAUGUGUGUUCUUCACAAAUUCUCGUGAAAAUUUGAUUGCCUCUUGUAUGUUUCUUUUUGGAACAAUAUUGUUUUUUUCUCUUAAAAGGUCACAUAAAAAAAAAUUCUUACGAAUAGCACGGGGAGUUGGAGAAGAAGCAGCAGGAGAAUUGCGUAGGGCAGGUAUGUGACAAAUCGAUUUGUCUGUGAUGCCACCGACGACGGACAGGCUAGUGGCUAGGGUAUAGGCUAGGCAGGGCAGGCCGGCAGGGCGUGGGCGACGCCGCGGCGGUGGUGCUGCGUUCGGUAUGCAUCCUUGUGUCAAGGGUGACGCAGCUCAUCGGUAGGGCCCAAGCAAGCCACGCUCCAGCCUCCAUGUAUGUCAUCAGGCUACCAGGGAUCGGAGCAUCGCCGCCGGCCGCCGCUAUCUGACAGUUCCCUGGACGGCCACGAUUCCUGUUUCAGUUGCCCGUCACCAUCGCGACCCCGUGUGCUCGAAUUUCUCCACCGGAGUGCAAGCAAUGACUUGGUCGCCAAUCCAACUGAACAGCAUGGCCCAAUGCCCGUGUCCCCGCAUCAGUACUCGCCGGUCAAUUCACGACGACUCCUGUGGUGGUACGGUUACUAUAGGCUGAUGCACACACGCUCUUCAAAUCGGCACAGAAAAACGACAUCACGGCGUGCGACCGCUAGAACGGCCCAGGCGGCCCUCCACCGGUGGUCGUGCAGCACGCACGCCUCGCCGUCGCCUCUUCAGAACUCCCGAUUCGAUGCACAUCCACCGUGCGGCGACUGGACACUGGAUUGGAUUCUUCUCGCCUCCGGCCGGUAACAGUGCCGCACCGGACGACGGGACUGACCGAGCUGAUCGCGUGGCCGGGCACGCGACGCGACAUGGCGCGUCGCCCGGCGAUACACGGAAGCAUGCAGCAAUGUCAGGGGGCGAGGGCGAGGCCAUGCCGGGCCAACGGAGAGACGUAUAGGGCUGCAGAGAAGCAAUGUACGUAACGAGCCAGCUAGCGCAGGUGCCGUCGCCGUCAGCACAAACUCCCCGGAGAGCGAAAGGCACGUACGGGGGCGGGGGCACCACGCCCGAAAUUAACAAACCAACCGCUAACCAAAAGGACACGCGCAGUCGCACACCACUGAUCGAUCAUCCCUGCUGAAUGCUGAUCGACCAUCGAUCGGCUUCGACCGUUCCAACACCUCGUGUUGCCGGAAACAUGCAUGCGUUCAUCUAAUGCAAGAGAGACAUCAUGGUAGUAUACUAUGGUUUGUGAGUGAAAAAAAAGAAAUUAAUAUUGCGAUUAAUUCCAUUGCAGCGACAACGAUCGAUCCACUCGCAGAGUGCAGACACGACGCACACAGAGGUUAGCUUUCUUACACGCAGGACGCAGCCUGUGCAGCCAAAUCAAGAAAGACGAGGCGGAAGGAGGAGGAAGUUACAGAGAUGGAGAGGCAGAGGCAGUGGAACAUGGAGAUGGAGAUGGAGUAGUAGACGUAGCUCGUGGUCGUCGUUAAGAAGCAUUUCACCACGGCUUUAAUCUAGGGAUCGCGAUAGGUAACUAAACCGGGGCGAGCUAGGGUAGGUA
rnacentral:lncRNA from 1 species